CUUAACCCCCCCCGCCGGCUGGAGGUGGAUUGGUCCCGCUGUGACCACGCCCUCUGUGCGGCUCGGCCAAUCAGAGGCGGCGGUUCCGUUUCCCGCCCCCCCCCCCCCCCCCGCCCUGAGGGCCCGGCCCGCAGUGCCCGAGAGCGGCCCCGCGGAGCCGUCCCGCGCUUUUCCCGUAAAAACCGCACAUUCCAGCGGGAAUUCCCAGCGCUUCCCGGCCCAGAGGCUCCGCCAGCACACCUGUGCACCGGGCAGUGAACAGCAGUUAUCGCUGAGGCUGUUACGGCUGCAAAACCGGCGCCUUAGGGGUCGCCACGCUUAAAGAAAGACGGAAUGUGGGAAAACGCUGUGGAUUUCUGCGUUCUGCUCUUUAAACUGGCCCCUGCAGGACCUCCCGGCUGUACAUAAAGGAUGCACGUUGCUCAUACAUACAGGUUUUCUAUCAGAAAGGUUCAUUCACAUGAGAGAUUUUAUAGGGUUAACUGCAUAACUGGCUUUGGGCAAUACCCAGAUCUGGGUUUUGGGGUGAAUUACCCCAAAUUUGAGCGCUCAAAAGCUGAAGUUCCACAGGACCAGCUGCUGCUGCCUGCCCUGGCUGUGGCACGCCUGUUAAGCACUAAAGCAAACUGAACUCCACAAAAAUAAUUUUUUUUUUUUUGCAGUCCUGCAAUAUUUUCAGGUGUUUUUUUUUUUUUUUUUUUUUUGCUGCUGCAUAAAUGAAUUCUUACAGCAGGUCACUAUCCCUAAAUACUCGUAUGAAUUAUGGAAGGAAUUGUGUAUAUUCCAGCAGUCACGGCCGUGCUCCUGCACAGCCUUUGAUUUCUCUUGCAGGUGAAAUAUCCACGCACAUGCAGGGCUCAGGUUCCCAAGGUGAAUAUAUUGAUUUAUUUCCUUGGCCUGUGGGAUCCCCAGAGCUCCCCAGAAGCUGUUGGGAUGCUGCAUUCCCACUGAGCAUGGAUGGAUGGAUUUCCCCCGCAGCUCUCUCUGCCCAUGUGAACUUUAGCUCCACUCAACAAACACUGCCCGAGGUCCCUGCAGUUAAUAGACACUCAGGACUACAGAGGCUCUUUUGUGUGAGACAAGGAUCUUAUCCAGGCUUGGAUCACACGGGGACCUCGGGGUGGGAAGUUCUGCAGCCCACGCCGGGUAAAACCCAUUUUAUUCCUGAGGAAUAGGACUGUUGGUCAAAUUCCCCACACAGAAAAAGGUUGGAAUAACAUCUCCCAGAGCUGUUACCCACUCCUGGAAGCAGAGGAAGGAGGAAGCCUGACCUGCACAUGCUUGCACCAUCUGCUGGCAGCAUCUCUGCUGACAGACAUUCCUAGAAGGGAUUCUGGAAUUCCUCAUCCACACUUAGGGACACGAGGCCACCGUUAUAAAGGUUUAAGAUUCAGCAGAGCCAUUUCUGCCAGGUUUUAAGGAAUUACACAGCAAAGUGACCCCAACACAGCCACCUCAAGCAGGGAACUGCAGAGCCUGUGCUGGCCUCAUCGAGGUUUUGUCCCCACCACAGAGCCAUCCUCUUGGGAAUUUCUGAACUCCCUGCUGGAAUCUCAGCUGAAUGAUGGGAUCCUGUCAGAUUCCUUGCCUAUCCCAGAGACUUG